rnacentral:rRNA from 1 species
GAUGAACGCUGGCGGCGUGCCUAAUACAUGCAAGUCGAGCGAACAGACGAGGAGCUUGCUCCUCUGACGUUAGCGGCGGACGGGUGAGUAACACGUAGGUAACCUACCUAUAAGACUGGGAUAACUUCGGGAAACCGGAGCUAAUACCGGAUAAUAUUUCGAACCGCAUGGUUCGAUAGUGAAAGAUGGCUUUGCUGUCACUUAUAGAUGGAUCCGCGCCGCAUUAGCUAGUUGGUAAGGUAACGGCUUACCAAGGCAACGAUACGUAGCCGACCUGAGAGGGUGAUCGGCCACACUGGAACUGAGACACGGUCCAGACUCCUACGGGAGGCAGCAGUAGGGAAUCUUCCGCAAUGGGCGAAAGCCUGACGGAGCAACGCCGCGUGAGUGAUGAAGGUCUUCGGAUCGUAAAACUCUGUUAUUAGGGAAGAACAAACGUGUAAGUAACUGUGCACGUCUUGACGGUACCUAAUCAGAAAGCCACGGCUAACUACGUG